AUGAUUUUAGUGCUUGCACUAAAUGAAACUAGAUACAAGCGAGCGGCGGACGGGUGAGUAACACGUGGGUAACCUGCCCAAGAGACUGGGAUAACACCUGGAAACAGAUGCUAAUACCGGAUAACAACACUAGACGCAUGUCUAGAGUUUGAAAGAUGGUUCUGCUAUCACUCUUGGAUGGACCUGCGGUGCAUUAGCUAGUUGGUAAGGUAACGGCUUACCAAGGCAAUGAUGCAUAGCCGAGUUGAGAGACUGAUCGGCCACAUUGGGACUGAGACACGGCCCAAACUCCUACGGGAGGCAGCAGUAGGGAAUCUUCCACAAUGGACGAAAGUCUGAUGGAGCAACGCCGCGUGAGUGAAGAAGGGUUUCGGCUCGUAAAGCUCUGUUGGUAGUGAAGAAAGAUAGAGGUAGUAACUGGCCUUUAUUUGACGGUAAUUACUUAGAAAGUCACGGCUAACUACGUGCCAGCAGCCGCGGUAAUACGUAGGUGGCAAGCGUUGUCCGGAUUUAUUGGGCGUAAAGCGAGUGCAGGCGGUUCAAUAAGUCUGAUGUGAAAGCCUUCGGCUCAACCGGAGAAUUGCAUCAGAAACUGUUGAACUUGAGUGCAGAAGAGGAGAGUGGAACUCCAUGUGUGGAGA
rnacentral:rRNA from 1 species